GAUGAACGCUGGCGGCGUGCCUAAUACAUGCAAGUCGAGCGAACAGAUGAGGAGCUUGCUCCUCUGACGUUAGCGGCGGACGGGUGAGUAACACGUGGAUAACCUACCUAUAAGACUGGGAUAACUUCGGGAAACCGGAGCUAAUACCGGAUAAUAUAUUGAACCGCAUGGUUCAAUAGUGAAAGACGGUUUUGCUGUCACUUAUAGAUGGAUCCGCGCCGCAUUAGCUAGUUGGUAAGGUAACGACUUACCAAGGCGACGAUGCGUAGCCGACCUGAGAGGGUGAUCGGCCACACUGGAACUGAGACACGGUCCAGACUCCAACGGGAGGCAGCAGUAGGGAAUCUUCCGCAAUGGGCGAAAGCCUGACGGAGCAACGCCGCGUGAGUGAUGAAGGUCUUCGGAUCGUAAAACUCUGUUAUUAGGGAAGAACAAAUGUGUAAGUAACUAUGCACGUCUUGACGGUACCUAAUCAGAAAGCCACGGCUAACUACGUG
rnacentral:rRNA from 1 species